rnacentral:rRNA from 1 species
AACGAACGCUGGCGGCGCGCCUAACACAUGCAAGUCGGACGAGAAACCGGGGCGACCCGGGAGUACAGUGGCAAACGGGUGAGUAAUGCAUGGGUGAUCUACCCUGGGGUGGGGAAUAACGUUCCGAAAGGGACGCUAAUGCCGACGAUACGCCCUGCGGUUUGCGGACGGCAGGGGAAAGCUUUCGCGAGGCGGAAGCGCCCGAGGAUGAGCUCAUGUCCUAUCAGCUAGUUGGCGGGGUAAGAGCCCACCAAGGCGACGACGGGUAGCUGGUCUG